rnacentral:rRNA from 1 species
UACGGGGGGGGCAAGCGUUGUUCGGAAUUACUGGGCGUAAAGGGCGCGUAGGCGGCCACGCACGUCCGUUGUGAAAUCGCCCGGCUCAACUGGGCGGGGUCAGCGGAUACGGUGUGGCUCGAGCAAGCUAGGGGGCAAUGGAAUUCCCGGUGUAGUGGUGGAAUGCGUAGAUAUCGGGAGGAACACCAGUGGCGAAGGCGGUUGCCUGGAGCUUUGCUGACGCUGAUGCGCGAAAGCGCGGGGAGCGAUCCGG